UAUGAAAACAGUGCAGAUAGCUAAAAACU
rnacentral:piRNA from 1 species